GCCCCGCAAGGUCGGUAUACAGGUGGUGCAUGGUUGUCGUCAGCUCGUGUCGUGAGAUGGUGGGUUAAGUCCCGCAACGAGCGCAACCCUCGUUCUAUGUUGCCAGCACGUGAUGGUGGGGACUCAUAGGAGACUGCCGGGGUCAACUCGGAGGAAGGUGGGGAUGACGUCAAAUCAUCAUGCCCCUUACGUCUUGGGCUUCACGCAUGCUACAAUGGCCGGUACAGAGGGCUGCGAAACCGUGAGGUGGAGCGAAUCCCUUAAAGCUGGUCUCAGUUCGGAUUGGGGUCUGCAACUCGACCCCAUGUAGUCGGAGUCGCUAGUAAUCGCA
rnacentral:rRNA from 1 species